GGGGGAUUUGGGAAUGGGGGCGGGGGUUUAUGAAUGGGGGCGGGGAAUGAGGGGGGAUUUGUCAAUGGGGGCGGGGAUUUGGGGGUGGGGGGGGUGUGAAUGGGGGGGCAAUGGGGGGGGAUUUGUGAAUGGGGGCAGAGAUUUGGGGAUGGGGGGGGAAUGGGAGGGGGGUGAAUGAGGGGGGAUUUGUGAAUGGGGGGGUGUGAAUGGGGGGGUGUGAAUGGGGGCAGGGAUUUGUGAAUGGAGGGGGAGUGAGAAUGGGGGGGGAAUGGGAAGGAGGUGAAUGGGGGGGGAAUGUGAAUGGGGGGGAGAGAGGGAGGGAAUGUGAAUGGGGGGGAGGGAAUUGUGAAUGGGAGGGAGGGGGAGGGGGGAAUUGUGGGUGGGGGGGAGGAAGGGGGGGGUGGAAUUGUGAAUGGGGGUGGUGGGAGAGGGAGGAAUCGUGAAUGGAAUGUGAGCGGGGAAGGAAAAAGUGAAUGGAGGGAGACGGGAACAGAAAGCAGUUCUGAAUGGAAUGGAAUGGAAUGGAAUGGGGUGGGGUGGGGGUGGGGAGGGGUGGGGGUCCUGGCAGCUCACAGAGGUGGGAGGGGGGGGUUGGAAAAGUCCUGGCAGCUCACAAAGGAAUGGGGGUGUUGGGAAGGAAAGGUCCUGAAAGGUCACAGAGCCACGGGGUGGGUGGGUGGGGUGGGAAAGGUCCUGGCUGGGCACAGAGCUAUGGGGUGGUUGGGUUGGGAUGGAAAGGUCCUGACAGGUCACAAAGGCAUUGGACUGUUGGGUUGGAAAGGUCCUGACAGAUCACAGAGAUGUGGAAUGAAUGGGUUGGGAUGGAAAGGUCCUAACAGAUCACAUAGAUGUGGGAUGAAUGAAUUGGGAUGGAAAGGUCCUUACAGAUCACAGAGCUAUGGGGUGGUUGGGUUGGGAUGGAAAGGUCCUGACAGAUCACAGAGCUAUGGGGUGGCUGGGUUGGGUUGGGAAGGUCCUGACAGGUCACAGAGCUAUGGGGUGGUUGGGAUGGGAUGGAAAGGUCCUGACAGGUCACAAAGGCAUUGGACUGUUGGAUUGGGAUGGAAAGGUCCUUACAGAUCACAGAGAUGCGGGAUGAAUGAAUUGGGAUGGAAAGGUCCUUACAGAUCACAGACUAUGGGAUGGUUGGGUUGGAAAGGUCCUGGCUGGUCACAGAGAUGUGGAAUGAAUGGGUUGGGAUGGAAAGGUCCUGACAGAUCACAGAGUUAUGGGAUGGUUGGAUUGGGUUGGAAAGGUCCUUACAGACCACAGAGAUGUGGGAUGGUUGGAUUGGGAAGGUCCUGGCAGGUCACAGAGAUGUGGGAUGAAUGGGUUGGGAUAGAAAGGGUCCUGACAGAUCACAGAGCUAUGGGGUGGUUGGGUUGGAUUAGAAAGGUCCUAACAGAUCACAAAGGCAUUGGACAGUUGGGUUGGGAUGGAAAGGUCCUUACAGAUCACAGAGCCAUUGGAUGGUUGGGUUGGGUUGGAAAGGUCCUAACAGGUCACAGAGAUGUGGGAUGGAUGGGUUGGGAUGGAAAGGUCCUGACAGAUCACAGAGAUG
rnacentral:lncRNA from 1 species